rnacentral:rRNA from 1 species
AUUGAACGCUGGCGGCAUGCCUUACACAUGCAAGUCGAAUGGUAACGGGCCUUCGGGUGCCGACGAGUGGCGAACGGGUGAGUAAUACAUCGGAACGUGCCCGAUCGUGGGGGAUAACGAGGCGAAAGCUUUGCUAAUACCGCAUACGAUCUACGGAUGAAAGCAGGGGACCGCAAGGCCUUGCGCGGACGGAGCGGCCGAUGGCAGAUUAGGUAGUUGGUGGGAUAAAAGCUUACCAAGCCGACGAUCUGUAGCUGGUCUGAGAGGAUGAUCAGCCACACUGGGACUGAGACACGGCCCAGACUCCUACGGGAGGCAGCAGUGGGGAAUUUUGGACAAUGGGCGCAAGCCUGAUCCAGCCAUGCCGCGUGCAGGAUGAGGGCCUUCGGGUUGUAAACUGCUUUUGUACGGAACGAAAAGCCUUCUUUUAAUACAGGAGGGUCAUGACGGUACCGUAAGAAUAAGCACCGGCUAACUACGUG